AAAUUAUGUUGAAAAUCUGCUCAUGUAUGUGUUCCUUGCUUGUUACAAAGUUCAGUAAUCCCUUAUGCUCUUACCUAUGCUUUAAUUGUGCUCAAAAUAUUGUAUAUCUCAUAUCCCUUCUUUCAUUCAACCACUACCCUAAACCUCAUUACUACCCUUGUAAAGUCCUUUUGAUCCUUGGUGUUGCAUGGUAUUACUGUGGAGAGCAGAUUGGAUAAUGAGCUUAUGGGGUUCGGAAUUCUUGAUUUUGCUCUAAGUGUGUGCGCAUGUACUUAUUUGAGUUGCAGGUGUUGUUC
rnacentral:lncRNA from 1 species